CGUUGAAAAACUGCUUCCCGUACGAUCACAGAAGUUAAGCAACAUCGUGAUUAGUCAGUAUCUAGAUGGUUGACUGCUUCGGAAUACCAGGUGCUGUAAG